GACGAACGCUGGCGGCGUGCUUAACACAUGCAAGUCGAACGGAAAGGCCCUGCUUGCAGGGUACUCGAGUGGCGAACGGGUGAGUAACACGUGGGUGAUCUGCCCUGCACUUCGGGAUAAGCUUGGGAAACUGGGUCUAAUACCGGAUAGGAGCCAUCUUUAGUGUGGUGGUUGGAAAGUUUUUUCGGUGUAGGAUGAGCUCGCGGCCUAUCAGCUUGUUGGUGGGGUAAUGGCCUACCAAGGCGGCGACGGGUAGCCGGCCUGAGAGGGUGUACGGCCACAUUGGGACUGAGAUACGGCCCAGACUCCUACGGGAGGCAGCAGUGGGGAAUAUUGCACAAUGGGCGCAAGCCUGAUGCAGCGACGCCGCGUGGGGGAUGAAGGCCUUCGGGUUGUAAACUCCUUUCGCUAGGGACGAAGCUUUUUGUGACGGUACCUAGAUAAGAAGCACCGGCUAACUACG
rnacentral:rRNA from 1 species